GCACUGGGGGUUCAGCUAGAAUUCUUGUCUUCCAUGUGGGAGGCCCAGGUUCAAUUCCUGGCCAAUGUG
rnacentral:tRNA from 1 species